GUAUAUAUACAGCUCUAGGGUCUCUCUGAGCCCCAAGCGCUCUCUACAGCAGCCGAAACAUCAAGGGCGUUAGAAAUCUCAAACUUCCUCAUCAAUGAAUUUGGCUCAUGGAGAUUUCAAGAAUUUACAAAUAGGGUGUCUGCAAGUCAGUCAGAACACUGGAAUAUACAUUUUUAGACACUCCUGGGCAGAAAGAGGAGGAAGAACCCUCGCUGCUGCAGGAAUAUCAUUUCUCUCUCACUGCAAAUUUGGAGGAACUUCCCUCACCGGAAUGUAUGAGUUCCUCAUUGGAACGGGAGAAAAACAUCCAGGCAGUCAGCUGUUAAGGAAAGCUCAUCGUUAUUGUUUUGGCCGAGCAACUUUCAUACUAAAAUGACGAAGCAACUAUUGCAUUCAACAAGCUAAUACCUCUUCAUACUAUGAAGAAAUCAUUCAAUCAACAAAAGAAUUGUCUUACAAGGAGCUCUAUUGCAUCUAGGAAAAAGGAGCUUUUUUUCUCCCUGUGAAGAAAUCAUAUCGAUCAACAAGAGAUGUAAGGAUCUGUAGCAUUUGGAAAGCUUGAUCAAGGCUCUUGAGUGUGGAUGGAGUUCUGUAGAAAGUCUGUGUUAAACUCUAAUGGAAUAAAGAUCAAAGCACUAGUUAUAUAAACUCUUACUGUUCGACGAAGUAGUAACUGUAAGGGGCUGUACUUGCUACUUUGAAUCUGUUGUGUAGUAGCCCAAAAAUGCAGCAAGCUGAGCGCUUGGGUAUAUUUUCAAAUUUGUGGUCUUCAACAUCCAUUUGCAUUGCAGUGUGCAUCUAAUUUUCAACUUGAAAGAGGAUGUGUUAGCUUUCCCCUGCUCCAAUCUUACCUUCACAAAAGACCACUGUCUUGACUAAUGAUAAUAGUUAGUUAUGAACACUUUCCAGAAUGCAGUCGCUGCCUGCUUCAUUUGGAACUCUAUUUAUGAGGCAGGUAAUGCUGGACCCUUCUCCCUUCUUACCCAAAAUUCGCUACCCGGUAUCAUUCUACCAUGAGGAUGAAUCAGCUCAACUCUAUGAUCAGUAGUAUAACAAUUAUUGGUUUCACUCAAUUCUUGUACCAUUUAUUUCGUCCUGGAAAUCAGUUAUUCAAGUACUGCAGUGAGGCUUCUAUGGCAUCAUCAUCACCAUUUAACAAGGUCCAGAUAUUUCAUGGUCAUGGAAAACCCUACUUACUACGUCGAACUUGGAAGGCAAAGAAAGGGUACUGGUACAAAGUGAAGAUAGAGUUGCAGCAUCAGUUUAUACAGUUGAUGCUAAACCACGAAUCGAUCCCACCCUGGACAACAAUGGCGACAGGUGCUCUCUUCGUCGUUCAUAUUUAUUAUGUUCUGGUGUGUAGUUGCAGUCGAGGCGAUUAAAGACCCAUGUGAAGGUGAAGUAGCUAGUGCCAUUAUACCUCUGAAAUAAAUGAGUUCAUGUGCAGUUUUUAUAUGCACCAAGCAUGAAGAAGAAAACAAAGAG